rnacentral:rRNA from 1 species
GAACGGGUGAGUAACACGUGAGCAACCUGCCCUAGGCUUUGGGAUAACCCCGGGAAACCGGGGCUAAUACCGAAUAGGACCUGGCACCGCAUGGUGUUGGGUGGAAAGUUUUUCGGCCUGGGAUGGGCUCGCGGCCUAUCAGCUUGUUGGUGGGGUGAUGGCCUACCAAGGCGACGACGGGUAGCCGGCCUGAGAGGGCGACCGGCCACACUGGGACUGAGACACGGCCCAGACUCCUACGGGAGGCAGCAGUGGGGAAUAUUGCACAAUGGGCGGAAGCCUGAUGCAGCGACGCCGCGUGAGGGAUGACGGCCUUCGGGUUGUAAACCUCUUUCAGCAGGGACGAAGCGUAAGUGACGGUACCUGCAGAAGAAGCGCCGGCCAACUACGUGCCAGCAGCCGCGGUAAGACGUAGGGCGCGAGCGUUGUCCGGAUUUAUUGGGCGUAAAGAGCUCGUAGGCGGCUUGUCGCGUCGACUGUGAAAACCCACGGCUCAACCGUGGGCCUGCAGUCGAUACGGGCAGGCUAGAGUUCGGUAGGGGAGACUGGAAUUCCUGGUGUAGCGGUGAAAUGCGCAGAUAUCAGGAGGAACACCGGUGG